GACGAACGCUGGCGGCGUGCUUAACACAUGCAAGUCGAACGGAAAGGCCCUGCUUGCAGGGUACUCGAUUGGCGAACGGGUGAGUAACACGUGGGUGAUCUGCCCUGCACUUCGGGAUAAGCCUGGGAAACUGGGUCUAAUACAGGACAGGAGACAUUUUUAGUCUGAUGGUUGGAAAGUUUUUUCGGUGUAGGGUGAGCUGGCGGCCUAUCAGCUUGGUGGUGGGGUAAUGGCCUACCAAGGCGGCGACGGGUAGCCGGCCUGGGAAGGUGGCCGGCAACAUUGGGACUGAGAUACGGCCCAGGCUCCGACGGGUGGGAGAAGUGGGGAAGAUUGAACAAGGAGCGCAAGCCUGAUGCAGAGACGCCGCGGGGGGGAGGACGGCCUUCGGGUUGUAAACUCAUUGCGCUAGGGACGAAGCAUUUUGUGACGGUACCUAGAUAAGAAGCACCGGCUAACUACGUG
rnacentral:rRNA from 1 species